GUCAACUCAACAUAAUUCAAAUUUCAAAGUCUUCACUUUUUACAAUAACAUAGUUGCCCAACAUAUAGUACAACUUCAUGCACGCUGAUGCCCUUUCUUUCUACAAAAAGUUAAUAUUGAAUACAAAGACCAAUUAUGCCACUUUUCUAUAAAUUUCAAAAACUUUGGUCAAUUUCUUUAAUUAUUACAACCUAACUAGCUAGUAUAUAAACUUCAGCUAGAAUUUUCAUUUCUUUAUGUUUUCUCUCUGCUCUCUAAAAUUUCUCAGAGAUAUUUUUCCAUAGACAUUUUGGCAUUCUGUCCACCUCCAUUAGUGGAAUUUGCACCCCCCAGAUUGUGAUAAUUGGAUUUGGGGGUGGCCAGUAUACCAAACGGGCUCUGUGAAUCUGUCUCUGAGAAAUGAGAGAUCAAUCAUGUAAUAUGAAUUAUUAUGGUUUUUUUUUUUACAUAGUGAAUUAUUAUGGUUAUAAUAACUUAUAAAUUAUAAUUUUUAUAUAUAAUUCUUCUCUUCUUUCAGCUCAUGCAUUUAAAUUAUCAUUGAUAUACAUAAUAUCCGAAUCUAAUGGAUCUUUUAACUUUUGCAGGUUCCUACUAUUGAGAAACAAAAUUCUUCCAUGAUAAUGAAAAUGUUUGAUUGAAUUAACCAACAUUUUUCUAAAAUGAUUUGAAAGUCCUAAGUUUUCCAAUUUUUUUCAACUAAUCUCAGAUUGAAGGUUUCAUUUUUUGUCUAAUGAUGGAGAAGUUGCACUUUUUUGCACAAGAAAGUACGAGGUGGUUUUUGUUUAUGGAAGCGUAUGUGGUGAAAAUAGGUGAGGUCUAGUUAGGUAUUGCAUAAAUAAGUUUGGUUUGUUGAAAAAAUUCAAACUCUAAUUCUAGUUUGUUAUCUGUUAUAGUUUAUUUUUUAGGUUUAAUUUGUUUCUUACAAUUUUAAAAGUAUGAUAUAGUAUCUGUAUGCCUUUCAAUUUAUUACUCCAAAUUCUUUUUUUUUUCGGUUCUUCUUCUUCGCGUUGUUGUGAUUUGAUAUAAGCUUAAAAAAGUGAUGGUUGAUGGUGCAUUUUAACCUACUCUGAAGUUUCUCCUUUGGCAUGGUCAUUCGUGAUAUGAACAACAAUUAUUGCCGCAAUUACUAUAGCAGUUUAGGUGUUGAAAAUGUUCUUUUUGUUCAAGUUUGGACUCUUGUACAUAAUGUUAGGGGUGUUUCAAAAUAUAGACUUAAAAAAGUUCUAUUUGAAAGUGACUCUAAACUUCUGAUUAACCAGGUCAGAUGUAUGUUCUCUACUUUACCGGAUCUCCUAUCUCUUUUGAAAGAUAUUCACUCUCUGCUUCAUUCCUGAUUGAAGUAUUUAUAUUUAUCAAAUCUUCUGUGAAAUGAAUUGUAAUGCGAAUUUCUUAUCAAAAGAAGGCAUGCAUGUCUCUUUGAA